rnacentral:rRNA from 1 species
UACGUAGGGUGCAAGCGUUGUCCGGAAUUAUUGGGCGUAAAGAGCUCGUAGGCGGUUUGUUGCGUCGGCUGUGAAAUCCCGAGGCUCAACCUCGGGUCUGCAGUCGAUACGAGCAAACUAGAGUGUUGCAGGGGAGACUGGAAUUCCUGGUGUAGCGGUGAAAUGCGCAGAUAUCAGGAGGAACACCGGUGGCGAAGGCGGGUCUCUGGGCAACAACUGACGCUGAGGAGCGAAAGCGUGGGGAGCGAACGGG